rnacentral:rRNA from 1 species
UGCAGUCGAGCGAGAUCUUCGGAUCUAGCGGCGGACGGGUUAGUAACGCGUGGGAACGUACCCAAAGGUAGGGAAUAGCCACUGGAAACGGUGAGUAAUACCCUAUGUGCCCUUCGGGGGAAAGAUUUAUCGCCUUUGGAUCGGCCCGCGUUAGAUUAGAUAGUUGGUGGGGUAACGGCCUACCAAGUCUACGAUCUAUAGCUGGUUUUAGAGGAUGAUCAGCCACACUGGGACUGAGACACGGCCCAGACUCCUACGGGAGGCAGCAGUGGGGAAUAUUGGACAAUGGGGGCAACCCUGAUCCAGCCAUGCCGCGUGAGUGAUGAAGGCCCUAGGGUUGUAAAGCUCUUUCAGCGAGGAGGAUAAUGACGUUACUCGCAGAAGAAGCCCCGGCUAACUUCGUGCCAGCAGCCGCGGUAAUACGAAGGGGGCUAGCGUUGUUCGGAAUCACUGGGCGUAAAGCGCACGUAGGCGGACUUUUAAGUCAGGGGUGAAAUCCCGGGGCUCAACCCCGGAACUGCCUUUGAUACUGGAAGUCUUGAGUCCGAGAGAGGUGAGUGGAACUCCGAGUGUAGAGGUGAAAUUCGUAGAUAUUCGGAAGAACACCAGUGGCGAAGGCGGCUCACUG